UGAACCUCACCAAACCAAGACCAUCAGGGACGAUUAGCAGCAGGCAGAUCUGAAUCGUAGAUGCAGUCGACUACAUAACAAGUCAGACGUCUGUUUCACGCCGCAGUCAGUUUGAUGAGCUUUUCUGAAGGGAGGAACUUGACCUUGUGACAGCAGGACACCCAGUGAUCCCUGCUGGCCUCGGUCUCAUUUGCAUCGCUAGUGAAGGUAGUUAGUGUUCAACCUGAACCUCCCCUUUGUGGAAAAGAAAGCAAAGAUAGCAGGGUGGAUUUCAAUAAUUCAAAAUGAACACUUGUAAUUUUGAGGGCUGCCACACUUUCUGUAUCGCUGACAGCACUCGGUGUCACUUUCUCCCUGGUGAAAGCUUCUUUAUAUCACUUAAUAUCUGGUGGCUUUGUUUCCAGGGUUCGUGCAGUGUGUGGAUAUCAGCAUAUUCUUGGGAUUAUCUGCGUGGAGGAUGAUCCUAAUUCAUCUGACCUACAAAAAAAGAUCGCCUGUGCAGAGGAACACAGUUAUAUGAGCCCAUUCGUGUGUCACAGGUGCCCGAUCAGUAAAUGUUUCGACCUUAUUCCAUGUGCGAUCGGGGCGGUAAAUAAAAGCCACUGAUUUAUCCGUUUCUUCUUUUGCGGUCAAACUCAAAUAAAGAUUAUUGCGACACUAUUUUUAAGACCCGAGAUGAUGUUUUUCGUCUGAUUACUGGAACGUUCCGUUCAGUUACAGAGAUUUUCCAUGAGCCCACACAGUAACAGUCAAAACAUCCCCAACUGUCUCUGGUACGAUUCCUUUCAUUAUCAUACCUGAAAGAAAGAAAGAACUCCAAUUCAUCUUAAUCUCACACUAACUACAGCAGCAGGUCCUGAGCGUGAUGAUUUGCAGUAUUCCAACCAAGAUAUCUGCGUGGAAACCCGCUCAGUGUCACGUUCCCAUUUGCAUGAGCAGAGAGGACAUCAGAUCCGUGUGUUGACGUUGGGCUCGUUCGCUGAUGUUUGCCGGUGAGGUUGCACGGGACGGAGGCGACCGCGGUCAUACUCGAAGGAGUCGGUUCUCUUCUGUAUUUUCAGGACAGAAACACUGAACAAUUGAAUGAAACUGAUGUAAAUCAUAUGCUUUGGCCUUUGAACACACAUGGGAGACUUUGAUCAUCAUGCUGGACAUCUCUCUUCACCGCUUUCAUCAAAACACCAAAUGAAGAAAUGUUGUUUUUUUUUGAAGAACUGUGCUCCAUUUUUCCCCAAACACUUACUAAGGUGCUUUAUGCUGUUUUCCCCUUUAAUUUCUCACCUGUCUGUAUCGAUAAAGUCAAAGUAAUGACUACCACUGAGGUAAACAACGGGAACGACUGUUGAAUUGAACCCAAUAACAACAACACUAAAAGGCUUUCACCUUAGAUUUAUGAAGAAGAUGUAAAAGGUUAAUGAAACUUUGUAGUUCACUGUGAUUCUGUUUUAUAUCGGUGUAAUCAUUAGCGUCCCUUCAGCGUGGUAAACGUAUUGUGUCUUCACUUACAAAGCGCUCCAGUUGUAUGGCACAUUUACCCAAAUGAUAAGUGUCUGCAUAUCUCGGCUCUUUAAACACUCAUCUGACAGAGAAUAUCUAGACAUUAAAGCCUCCGUUUCAGCUGCUUGUCCUAUUCAUGAUGCAAAGAACACCACAGUUAUUUUAUAUGGUUGUUUUUAAGGUGACAAACAUGCAUGCUUUAUAAUGCACUGGUCAGUUUUUAGGUCAAGUUAAUUGUUCAGACAGUCACGCAAAUGUUUGUAUAUUUAAAGGAAAGAUGUAAUUUGAACAUGUAAACAUACAAUUUCAGAGAACUGUUGGUCAGGUUACAGGAUGAUAUACA